rnacentral:rRNA from 1 species
UUAAGCGACUAAGCGUACACGGUGGAUGCCCUGGCAGUCAGAGGCGAUGAAGGACGUGCUAAUCUGCGAAAAGCGUCGGUAAGGUGAUAUGAACCGUUAUAGCCGGCGAUGUCCGAAUGGGGAAACCCAGUGCAAUUCGUUGCACUAUCGUUAACUGAAUACAUAGGUUAACGAGGCGAACCGGGGGAACUGAAACAUCUAAGUACCCCGAGGAAAAGAAAUCAACCGAGAUUCCCCCAGUAGCGGCGAGCGAACGGGGAGCAGCCCAGAGUCUGAAUCAGCUUGUGUGUUAGUGGAACGGUCUGGAAAGUCCGACGGUACAGGGUGAUAGUCCCGUACACCAAAAUGCACAGGCUGUGAACUCGAAGAGUAGGGCGGGACACGUGGUAUCCUGUCUGAAUAUGGGGGGACCAUCCUCCAAGGCUAAAUACUCCUGACUGACCGAUAGUGAACCAGUACCGUGAGGGAAAGGCGAAAAGAACCCCGGCGAGGGGAGUGAAAAAGAACCUGAAACCGUGUACGUACAAGCAGUGGGAGCACCUUCGGGUGUGACUGCGUACCUUUUGUAUAAUGGGUCAGCGACUUAUAUUCUGUAGCAAGGUUAACCGUAUAGGGGAGCCGCAGGGAAACCGAGUCUUAACUGGGCGUUAAGUUGCAGGGUAUAGACCCGAAACCCGGUGAUCUAGCCAUGGGCAGGUUGAAGGUUGGGUAACACUAACUGGAGGACCGAACCGACUAAUGUUGAAAAAUUAGCGGAUGACUUGUGGCUGGGGGUGAAAGGCCAAUCAAACCGGGAGAUAGCUGGUUCUCCCCGAAAGCUAUUUAGGUAGCGCCUCGUGAAUUCAUCUUCGGGGGUAGAGCACUGUUUCGGCUAGGGGGUCAUCCCGACUUACCAACCCGAUGCAAACUACGAAUACCGAAGAAUGUUAUCACGGGAGACACACGGCGGGUGCUAACGUCCGUCGUGAAGAGGGAAACAACCCAGACCGCCAGCUAAGGUCCCAAAGUCAUGGUUAAGUGGGAAACGAUGUGGGAAGGCACAGACAGCCAGGAUGUUGGCUUAGAAGCAGCCAUCAUUUAAAGAAAGCGUAAUAGCUCACUGGUCGAGUCGGCCUGCGCGGAAGAUGUAACGGGGCUAAACCAUGCACCGAAGCUGCGGCAGCGACACUAUGUGUUGUUGGGUAGGGGAGCGUUCUGUAAGCCUGCGAAGGUGACCUGUGAGGGUUGCUGGAGGUAUCAGAAGUGCGAAUGCUGACAUAAGUAACGAUAAAGCGGGUGAAAAGCCCGCUCGCCGGAAGACCAAGGGUUCCUGUCCAACGUUAAUCGGGGCAGGGUGAGUCGACCCCUAAGGCGAGGCCGAAAGGCGUAGUCGAUGGGAAACAGGUUAAUAUUCCUGUACUUGGUGUUACUGCGAAGGGGGGACGGAGAAGGCUAUGUUAGCCGGGCGACGGUUGUCCCGGUUUAAGCAUGUAGGCUGAUUGUCCAGGCAAAUCCGGAUAAUCAAGGCUGAGGUGUGAUGACGAGGCACUACGGUGCUGAAGUAACAAAUGCCCUGCUUCCAGGAAAAGCCUCUAAGCAUCAGGUAACAUUAAAUCGUACCCCAAACCGACACAGGUGGUCAGGUAGAGAAUACCAAGGCGCUUGAGAGAACUCGGGUGAAGGAACUAGGCAAAAUGGUGCCGUAACUUCGGGAGAAGGCACGCUGGUGUGUAGGUGAAGUCCCUGCGGAUGGAGCUGAGACCAGUCGAAGAUACCAGCUGGCUGCAACUGUUUAUUAAAAACACAGCACUGUGCAAACACGAAAGUGGACGUAUACGGUGUGACGCCUGCCCGGUGCCGGAAGGUUAAUUGAUGGGGUUAUCCGUAAGGAGAAGCUCUUGAUCGAAGCCCCGGUAAACGGCGGCCGUAACUAUAACGGUCCUAAGGUAGCGAAAUUCCUUGUCGGGUAAGUUCCGACCUGCACGAAUGGCGUAAUGAUGGCCAGGCUGUCUCCACCCGAGACUCAGUGAAAUUGAACUCGCUGUGAAGAUGCAGUGUACCCGCGGCAAGACGGAAAGACCCCGUGAACCUUUACUAUAGCUUGACACUGAACAUUGAGCCUUGAUGUGUAGGAUAGGUGGGAGGCUUUGAAGCGUGGACGCCAGUCUGCGUGGAGCCAACCUUGAAAUACCACCCUUUAAUGUUUGAUGUUCUAACGUUGGCCCCUGACCGGGGUUGCGGACAGUGUCUGGUGGGUAGUUUGACUGGGGCGGUCUCCUCCCAAAGCGUAACGGAGGAGCACGAAGGUUAGCUAAUCCUGGUCGGACAUCAGGAGGUUAGUGCAAUGGCAUAAGCUAGCUUGACUGCGAGCGUGACGGCGCGAGCAGGUGCGAAAGCAGGUCAUAGUGAUCCGGUGGUUCUGAAUGGAAGGGCCAUCGCUCAACGGAUAAAAGGUACUCCGGGGAUAACAGGCUGAUACCGCCCAAGAGUUCAUAUCGACGGCGGUGUUUGGCACCUCGAUGUCGGCUCAUCACAUCCUGGGGCUGAAGUAGGUCCCAAGGGUAUGGCUGUUCGCCAUUUAAAGUGGUACGCGAGCUGGGUUUAGAACGUCGUGAGACAGUUCGGUCCCUAUCUGCCGUGGGCGCUGGAGAAUUGAGGGGGGCUGCUCCUAGUACGAGAGGACCGGAGUGGACGCAUCACUGGUGUUCGGGUUGUCAUGCCAAUGGCACUGCCCGGUAGCUAAAUGCGGAAGAGAUAAGUGCUGAAAGCAUCUAAGCACGAAACUUGCCCCGAGAUGAGUUCUCCCUGAGACUUUAAGUCUCCUGAAGGAACGUUAAAGACGAUGACGUUGAUAGGCCGGGUGUGUAAGCGCAGCGAUGCGUUGAGCUAACCGGUACUAAUGAACCGUGAGGCUUAACCUU